rnacentral:rRNA from 1 species
UACGUAGGGGGCUAGCGUUGUCCGGAUUUAUUGGGCGUAAAGAGCGUGUAGGCGGCCAGGUAGGUCUGCUGUGAAAACUCGAGGCUCAACCUCGAGACGUCGGCGGAAACCAUCUGGCUAGAGUCCGGAAGAGGCGAGUGGAACUCCUGGUGUAGCGGUGGAAUGCGCAGAUAUCAGGAAGAACACCAACGGCGAAGGCAGCUCGCUGGGACGGUACUGACGCUGAGACGCGAAAGCUAGGGGAGCAAACAGG